UUCUCCGCCAUCGAGGUGCGUGCGUUCGCUUCUCCUUCACCAUGUCUUCCCACAAGACUUUCAGGAUCAAGAGGUUCCUGGCCAAGAAACAAAAGCAGAAUCGGCCCAUUCCCCAAUGGAUUCAGAUGAAAACUGGUAAUAAAAUCAGGUACAACUCGAAGAGGAAACAUUGGAGAAGAACCAAACUGGGCCUAUGAGAAAUCACACAUGAGAGAUGACUCACAUAUUUAUGCUGUAUCCAGGUUGCCUACACCCUUAAAUGAUUGAAAAGAUGCUACUGUCUGGACAGUUGGGGCAUUUUAAUUGGAAGAUUAAUGAACUUGUGAUUUUG